rnacentral:rRNA from 1 species
AUGAACGCUGGCGGCGUGCCUAAUCCAUGCAAGUCGAGCGAACAGACGAGGAGCUUGCUCCUCUGACGUUAGCGGCGGACGGGUGAGUAACACGUGGAUAACCUACCUAUAAGACUGGGAUAACUUCGGGAAACCGGAGCUAAUACCGGAUAAUAUAUUGAACCGCAUGGUUCAAUAGUGAAAGACGGUUUUGCUGUCACUUAUAGAUGGAUCCGCGCCGCAUUAGCUAGUUGGUAAGGUAACGGCUUACCAAGGCAACGAUGCGUAGCCGACCUGAGAGGGUGAUCGGCCACACUGGAACUGAGACACGGUCCAGACUCCUACGGGAGGCAGCAGUAGGGAAUCUUCCGCAAUGGGCGAAAGCCUGACGGAGCAACGCCGCGUGAGUGAUGAAGGUCUUCGGAUCGUAAAACGCUGUUAUUAGGGAAGAACAAAUGUGUAAGUAACUAUGCACGUCUUGACGGUACCUAAUCAGAAAGCCACGGCUAACUACGU